rnacentral:misc_RNA from 1 species
CUUGUAAACAAUUUAUGUAUUCAAUUAUUGAGUGAAUCAAUUUUUAUUGUUGCCUAAAUAUCAUGGAUCAUGUCAUAGAUUUCCAAUACUAUGGUAAAUUUUUUUUCCCUUUCAAGCAUUCUCUCUUUAUAAUGGUAAGAAUAAUGUAUACAAAACAUUCAUCAGCACACUGAACUACAGAAAGGGUAAGACAUACAGAUAUAACUAAUGAUCAAGGGUCUGACAACUAAUCAGAUCAGCAGAGCUAGCAUUUUUAGUGGCAAUGACCCUCCAAAGACAUGUUUCUGGUUUUGCUGCAGACUCAGCCUCCUCGCAGCGGGAGUCAUCAAAAGGAAAGGCUGAAGAUGAUGAUGAGGAAGCUAAAUGAUUCCUUACAUCUACCUGCAGAACUCUUAUGAUGUUGUUGGCAUCUUUAGUGAUUACAUGGAGCUUUCCAAGUAAACCAGCAAGUAAAUAGGAAGAUUGUGAAUUACUAGUGUCACAAAUAGGAAUAUCACCAAGCAAAAUUUUCCAGGCAUCAUUUCUGUAAUCAUAUACCUUGAUUCUAGCACUAUCAAGAGAACUAGACGGUUCAAGUGCAUAAAGCUCAUCUUCAACUGUGACACUCAGUUUUGUUCCUGCCUGCUUUAC